ACUGUCCUUACAGGAGCUGCAGGUAUAGUUGCUGUAUCACAUUUGUGUCAUUAGGUGGCAGAGAGAAGAGAGGCUAUGUCUACCCUCAGUGUUCUGACCUGUGAACGUUUGAAUGAUUAACAGUCUGAACCUU